rnacentral:rRNA from 1 species
AGUGAACGCUGGCGGUAGGCCUAACACAUGCAAGUCGAACGGCAGCACAGUAAGAGCUUGCUCUGACGGGUGGAGGGUGGAGGACGGGUGAGGAAUACAUCGGAAUCUACUUUUUCGCGGGGGAUAACGUAGGGUAACUUACGCUAAUACCGCAUACUAACUACGGGUGAAAUACGGGGAUCUUCCGACCUUGCGCGAUUGUAUGAGCCGAUGUCGGAUUAGCUAGAUGGCGGGGUAAAGGCCCACCAAGGCGACGAUCCGUAGCUGGUCUGAGAGGAUGAUCAGCCACACUGGAACUGAGACACGGUCCAGACUCCUACGGGAGGCAGCAGUGGGGAAUAUUGGACAAUGGGCGCAAGCCUGAUCCAGCCAUACCGCGUGGGUGAAGAAGGCCUUCGGGUUGUAAAGCGCUUUUGUUGGGAAAGAAAAGCAGCAGGUUAAUACCCCGCUGUUCUGACGGUACCCUAAGAAUAAGCACCGGCUAACUUCGUG